rnacentral:rRNA from 1 species
CCUACGGGAGGCAGCAGUGGGGAAUUUUGGACAAUGGGCGCAAGCCUGAUCCAGCCAUGCCGCGUGCGGGAAGAAGGCCUUCGGGUUGUAAACCGCUUUUGUCAGGGAAGAAAUCCUUUGAGAUAAUACCUCGGAGGGAUGACGGUACCUGAAGAAUAAGCACCGGCUAACUACGUGCCAGCAGCCGCGGUAAUACGUAGGGUGCGAGCGUUAAUCGGAAUUACUGGGCGUAAAGCGUGCGCAGGCGGUCUUGCAAGACAGAUGUGAAAUCCCCGGGCUCAACCUGGGAACUGCAUUUGUGACUGCAAGGCUAGAGUACGGUAGAGGGGGAUGGAAUUCCGCGUGUAGCAGUGAAAUGCGUAGAUAUGCGGAGGAACACCGAUGGCGAAGGCAAUCCCCUGGACCUGUACUGACGCUCAUGCACGAAAGCGUGGGGAGCAAACAGGAUUAGAUACCCUGGUAGUCCACGCCCUAAACGAUGUCAACUGGUUGUUGGACGGCUUGCUGUUCAGUAACGAAGCUAACGCGUGAAGUUGACCGCCUGGGGAAGUACGGCCGCAAGGUUGAAACUUCAAAGGAAUUGAGG